rnacentral:rRNA from 1 species
AUUGAACGCUGGCGGCAGGCCUAACACAUGCAAGUCGAACGGUAACAGGAAGCAGCUUGCUGCUUUGCUGACGAGUGGCGGACGGGUGAGUAAUGUCUGGGAAACUGCCUGAUGGAGGGGGAUAACUACUGGAAACGGUAGCUAAUACCGCAUAACGUCGCAAGACCAAAGAGGGGGACCUUCGGGCCUCUUGCCAUCGGAUGUGCCCAGAUGGGAUUAGCUAGUAGGUGGGGUAACGGCUCACCUAGGCGACGAUCCCUAGCUGGUCUGAGAGGAUGACCAGCCACACUGUAACUGAGACACGGUCCAGACUCCUACGGGAGGCAGCAGUGGGGAAUAUUGCACAAUGGGCGCAAGCCUGAUGCAGCCAUGCCGCGUGUAUGAAGAAGGCCUUCGGGUGGUAAAGUACUUUCAACGGGGAGGAAGGGAGUAAAGUUAAUACCUUUGCACAUUGACGUUACGCGCAGAAGAAGCACCGGCUAACUCCGUG